AGCAGCCGCGGUAAUUCCAGCUCCAAUAGCGUAUAUUAAAGUUGUUGCAGUUAAAAGCUCGUAGUUGAAUUUCGGGAUUGACACAUCGGUCGUGCCUUAAGGGGUAUGAACUGGUGUAGUCAAUUUCUCACCUUCUGGAGAACCGCGAUGCCCUUAAUUGGGUGUCACGGGGAACCAGGACCUUUACUUUGAAAAAAUUAGAGUGUUUAAAGCAGGCAUUUUGCUUGAAUACAUUAGCAUGGAAUAAUAAAAUAGGACGGCAUGGUUCUAUUUUGUUGGUUUCUAGGAUCACCGUAAUGAUUAAUAGGGAUAGUUGGGGGCAUUAGUAUUCAAUUGUCAGAGGUGAAAUUCUUGGAUUUAUUGAAGACUAACUUCUGCGAAAGCAUUUGCCAAGGAUGUUUUCAUUAAUCAAGAACGAAAGUUAGGGGAUCGAAGACGAUCAGAUACCGUCGUAGUCUUAACCAUAAACUAUGCCGACUAGGAAUCGGACGAAGUUAAUUUUAUAAUGACUCG
rnacentral:rRNA from 1 species